UGGGGCGUGGCCGAGUGGUAAGGCGACGGGUCUUUCUCCCGUAUAGUCGAAGGUUCGAAUCCUUUCGUCCCAG
rnacentral:tRNA from 1 species